CAGCAGAAGAAGAAAUUAGCCAUGAGGAGCAAAAGAAAAAUAAUACAGUUGCUGUUGACAAUACAAAUAAUGGGAUUAAAGUGAAAAUAUUGAUGAAAAAGGAAGAUGCAGAAAGGCUGUUAUUGAAGUGUAAAGAAGGAGGGGUACUUGAAUUUAUGGAUGUAGCUUAAGAACUUGUACAAGUUCCUUCUACUAGUGAUAGGUUUCUGUCUUCUUCUAGUAACAUUGGCGGAGCCAUCUUAGUCUAAGGAGUGUCGGUCUUCGUCAAAAAUUAUACAAUGGGUAAUUAGGUCAAUUUUUCUUAUGCGUAUAUAUGUUAUAUGUUGAAUCCACUUAAUUUUUUUAUUUGAUUACUUCAGUGGCGGAGCCAAAAUUUCACUAAGGGUAUCAAAGUAUAAGAAUUUUAAAUACACUAUAAAAUCAAGGAAAGUCAAUGUAUAGUAAAUAUACGUAAAAUAAAAAAACAUAUCUAGCAAUACAGUGUAAUUUUUCGGCGAAUGGAUAUCGAUACACCCCUCGAUUGAAUGUGGCUCUGCCACUGGCUUACUUCCAUAUAUUAAUUUUAACAAUCCUCAAUUAGUAAAAUUUCUAGUUCCGCAACUGUUUACUUUUCAUAGAGGCUAUUCGUGA
rnacentral:lncRNA from 1 species